rnacentral:rRNA from 1 species
UCACUUUAGUUGCCAUCAUUAAGUUGGCACUCUGAAAGAACUGCCAGUGAUAAGCUGGAGGAAGGUGGGGAUGACGUCAAGUCCUCAUGGCCCUUACGUGUUGGGCUACACACGUGCUACAAUGGUAUCUACAACAGCGAAGCAAGACUGCGAAGUUAAGCAAAUCCCUAAAAGAUACCUCAGUUCGGAUUGCACUCUGCAACUCGAGUGCAUGAAGCUGGAAUUACUAGUAAUCGUGGAUCAGCCGUGCCACGGUGAAUACGUUC